GGAGUUUGGACCGUGUCUCAGUUCCAAUGUGGGGGACCUUCCUCUCAGAACCCCUACUGAUCGUCGCCUUGGUGGGCCGUUACCCCGCCAACUAGCUAAUCAGUCGCAUCCUCAUCCAUCGCCGAUAAAUCUUUAUUCGCCAAACCAUGCGGAAAAGCGAAACCAUCAGGUAUUAAUCUUUCUUUCGAAAGGCUAUCCCUGAGCCAUGGGUAGAUUGGAUACGCGUUACGCACCCGUGCGCCGGUCGCCAUCAAAAGUAGCAAGCUACUUUCAUGCUGCCCCUCGACUUGCAUGUGUUAAGCCUGUAGCUAGCGUUCAUC
rnacentral:rRNA from 1 species